GGUGAAGAACGCAGCGAAAUGCGAUAAGUAGUGUGAAUUGCAGAAUUCAGUGAAUCAUCGAAUCUUUGAACGCACAUUGCGCCCCUUGGUAUUCCAUGGGGCAUGCCUGUUCGAGCGUCAUUUGUACCUUCAAGCUUUGCUUGGUGUUGGGUGUUUGUCUCGCCUUUGCGUGUAGACUCGCCUUAAAAUAAUUGGCAGCCGGCGUAUUGAUUUCGGAGCGCAGUACAUCUCGCGCUUUGCACUCAUAACGACAGCGUCCAAAAGUACAUUUUACACUCUUGACCUCGGAUCAGGUAGGGAUACCCGCUGAACUUAAGCAUAUCAAUAAGCGGAGGA
rnacentral:misc_RNA from 1 species